UACGGGGGGGAGCAAGCGUUGUUCGGAUUUACUGGGCGUAAAGCGCACGUAGGCGGCUUUGUAAGUUAGAGGUGAAAGCCCCAGGGCUUAACCCUGGAAUUGCCUUUAAGACUGCAUCGCUAGAAUCGUGGAGAGGUGAGUGGAAUUCCGGGUGUAGAGGUGAAAUUCGUAGAUAUUCGGAAGAACACCAGUGGCGAAGGCGACUCACUGGACACGUAUUGACGCUGAGGUGCGAAAGCGUGGGGAGCAAACAGG
rnacentral:rRNA from 1 species